AGCAAUACAAGGCAUACGGCUCAGUAACGCGUAGUCAACCUAACCUAUGGACGGGAAUAACCUCAGGAAACUGAGAAUAAUGCCCGAUAGAACAUUAUGCCUGGAAUGGUUUAUGUUCCAAAUGAUUUAUCGCCGUAGGAUGGGACUGCGGCCUAUCAGUUUGUUGGUGAGGUAAUGGCCCACCAAGACUAUUACAGGUACGGGCUCUGAGAGGAGUAGCCCGGAGAUGGGUACUGAGACACGGACCCAGGCCCUAUGGGGCGCAGCAGGCGAGAAAACUUUGCAAUGUGCGAAAGCACGACAAGGUUAAUCCGAGUGGUUUCUGCUAAAGGAACCUUUUGUCAGUCCUAGAAACACUGAUGAAUAAGGGGUGGGCAAGUUCUGGUGUCAGCCGCCGCGGUAAAACCAGCACCUCAAGUGGUCAGGAUGAUUAUUGGGCCUAAAGCAUCCGUAGCCGGCUCUGUAAGUUUUCGGUUAAAUCUGUACGCUCAACGUACAGGCUGCCGGGAAUACUGCAAAGCUAGGGAGUGGGAGAGGUAGACGGUACUCGGUAGGAAGGGGUAAAAUCCUUUGAUCUAUUGAUGACCACCUGUGGCGAAGGCGGUCUACCAGAACACGUCCGACGGUGAGGGAUGAAAGCUGGGGGAGCAAACCGGAUUAGAUACCCGGGUAGUCCCAGCUGUAAACCAUGCA
rnacentral:rRNA from 1 species